UACGUAGGCAGCAAGCGUUGUUCGGAGUUACUGGGCGUAAAGGGUGUGUAGGCGGUUUUUUAAGUUUGGUGUGAAAUCUCCCGGCUCAACUGGGAGGGUGCGCCGAAUACUGAAAGACUAGAGUGCGGGAGAGGAAAGUGGAAUUCCUGGUGUAGCGGUGAAAUGCGUAGAUAUCAGAAGGAACACCCAUGGCGAAGGCAGCUCGCUGGCCUACAACUGACGCUGAGGCGCGAAAGCGUGGGGAGCAAACAGG
rnacentral:rRNA from 1 species